rnacentral:rRNA from 1 species
UACGUAGGGUGCAAGCGUUGUCCGGAAUUAUUGGGCGUAAAGAGCUCGUAGGCGGUCUGUCGCGUCUGCUGUGAAAACUCGGGGCUUAACCCCGGGCCUGCAGUGGGUACGGGCAGACUAGAGUGCGGUAGGGGAGACUGGAAUUCCUGGUGUAGCGGUGAAAUGCGUAGAUAUCGGGAGGAACACCAGUGGCGAAGGCGACUACCUGGCCUGUUCUUGACGCUGAGGCGCGAAAGCUAGGGGAGCAAACGGG